GACGAACGCUGGCGGCGUGCUUAACACAUGCAAGUCGAACGGUAAGGCCCUUCGGGGUACACGAGUGGCGAACGGGUGAGUAACACGUGGGUAAUCUGCCCUGCACAUCGGGAUAAGCCUGGGAAACUGGGUCUAAUACCGAAUAGGACCACAGGACACAUGUCCUGUGGUGGAAAGCUUUUGCGGUGUGGGAUGGGCCCGCGGCCUAUCAGCUUGUUGGUGGGUUGAUGGCUUACCAAGGCGACGACGGGUAGCCGGCCUGAGAGGGUGUCCGGCCACACUGGGACUGAGAUACGGCCCAGACUCCGACGGGAGGCAGCAGUGGGGAAUAUUGCACAAUGGGCGAAAGCCUGAUGCAGCGACGCCGCGUGGGGGAUGACGGCCUUCGGGUUGUAAACCUCUUUCACCAUCGACGAAGGUCCGGGUUUUCUCGGGCUGACGGUAGGUGGAGAAGAAGCACCGGCCAACUACGUG
rnacentral:rRNA from 1 species